GUCUUCUUCUAUCGUCGUUGUCUUCUUUCAUCGUGUUAGGGUUUGCAGAGUUCCAAUUUACUCUCAUUUUUACAUAGCAAUACCUCCGUAAUUCAUUUUUCGAAAACUCGAAAAAUCCUAACAUAGCACGAUAUCUCGUUCCUUGUUCUGAUUUUGAAGAUCCCCUGAUUUUUUCAGGGAAACUAUAUAAUUUUUUUCUUCGUUUCCUUUGUAUAAAUCUCUUAGUAAAAAAAAGUAUCUUAAGCUUAUUGGAGAUCAAGGAUUAAGAGAUGCCUCGAGACUUGUCGCGAUCCCGAUCGCCUCCUUAUAGGCGUAGGCAUUCACCAUCUCCUGUGGGACACAGGUAUAGCAGGAGGAGCAGAAGAGACAGAAGCAGAUCUCCUUAUUCAUCUUACUCUUACAGCAGGUGACCCCGUUUGAAUGUUUAUUUUUGUUUAUGGUAUAUCUCGUAUUCGGUUAGGGUAAUUGGGAUUCUAAUGUUUUAUAAAUUAUUUGCUAUGUAUUUUAACCUUUCAUUUGUUGGUAUUUUGUUGUUGUUCUCUUUUACAAUGUAUACUGUGUAGUACGGUGUAUGUUUAUUGUGUUAGAUUUGCUUUCAAGGACUUUAUAGAAUUAUAAUAUUUGAUAUUUCUACCAAAAUUGGAUUGUACUUGAACUUGAGAAUUUGACUAGGGUUGUAUUGUUGGUUUGAGGUUAACUACAAGGCAAAAUUUACAAAACAAUUUGUUUUUCUGGGCUUUUUUCCCUUUCCAUUUUAUUAGCAUCUUAUUCAGAUGCCAAAGAAAUUACAAAAUUUGGAUUUAUUUGCUGGAGUAUUUGUGGAUAACUGACUCUUUUUGUUUGAAGAAAUGUGCUUGAUGCUUUCAGGAUUACAGAGAUAUCAUCAUAUAUUUAUGACCAAAACAUGUAGGUCAAAGUUGAAACCCAUGGUUGAUAAUGCUAUGAAUUGUUAUUUAAAUUCAAUAUCCUCUCGGUAUUUGCUUAUCAUUUGCCUCUAUUUUGUACAUGCUCAAGUGGACAAGAAUAGACAAAUUUCUUUUAUUCUGCUGUGUGGGUUCUCUUUUUCUGUUGAGCUUAUUGAGCCACUCGAUGUUUACAUACUGUUUUGCUGGAUGAUUGAUAUUGCUAAUAUUCAAGUAUUUGACAGGCUUGUCAAUUGUCAUAAGUGUCUGGUUUUGGUGUUUCUUACAUUAUAAGACUUUGUAUUGAGUUUCUUUCUUUUGUGGGGUUUCCUAUUUAUAUGCAAAGGUGGAAACUCAUCAAGAACAACACAUAUAGAGCAUAACAUAGAGAACAAGAUAGGAUAUAUGCUGUUUAUAACAAAUUAAAAAAAUAUCAGUCUCUUCCCAUAACAUGGGAAAUGAGGGAUAUGCACAGGUGGUGGGUGCUGAUGGGGUGUUUUUUCAUUGCUCGAUUGUGACAUUUGCUUCUUCAUGUGGUAAAAGAUGGAGCACACAAUGCUUAUUCUUUGCAAUUUCUGAGGUAACUGUACAUGUUUCUGUAUUUAAGAGUAAGUGUGCUAGAUGGUGGGCAGGAUUUAUAUUCUCUAAAUAUAGCUGUUUAGUUUCUGAGGUUCAUUGCUUAUUAUGAUCAUCUGUGUCAUCAUAUAGGCGAAAAAGUCGUUCUAUUUCACCUAGAGGCCACAGAAGUCCUUCUACAACUCCAAGACGUCGUAGAAGCCGAUCUCCAACUGCUAAUCGACACAGAAGGCACAGAAGUAGGAGUUCCUCACUGUCUCCUACUCAUAAAUCUUCCAGUUCAAGCCUUGGGUCAGUAGAGCAGAAAACUGCUGUUGAAAAACAAAAGAAAGAAGAAGAGAGGAAAAGGCAUGUCUGAAGGAAGGUACUGCUAUUAUUCAACUUGUUAUGUUUGAUGAUCAAAUUGGCUGCCUCAUUUAUCUACUGUUCACCAGUUUUGAAACUCAUUUGUUUGGAUCAGGAUUCAAUAGAGGCGUCAACAGGAAGCAGAGUUGAAAUUAGUAGAAGAAGAGACUGCAAAGAGCGUUGAAGAAGCAAUUCGUAAGAGAGUUGAAGAAAGCUUGAAUUCUGAGGAGGUUCAGGUGGAGAUUCAAAGGCGGUUGGAGGAGGGACGGAAGAGACUGAAUGAUGAAGUUGCAGCUCAACUUGAAAAAGAAAAAGAAGCUGCUCUUAUUGAGGCUAGACAGAAGGAGGAACAAGCCCGUAAAGAGAGAGCAGAUCUUGAAAGGACACUUGAGGAGAACCGGAGGAAGAUUGAAGAAGCCCAAAGAAGGGAAGCUUUAGAGCAGCAAAGAAGGGAGGAGGAACGAUAUAGAGAACUAGAAGAGAUACAGAGACAGAAAGAAGAAGCCAUGCGAAGGAAGAAACAGGAGGAGGAACAAGAACGUUUAAACCAAAUAAAGUUGUUGGGUAAAAACAAAUCCCGACCAAAAUUGUCGUUUGCUCUUGGAUCCAAAUGACACUGGGCGACCCGUGUUUAUUUAUUUAAUCUAAAGUGUGUUUGGGCUUAAUUCCUAUUUGCAUAUGUAAUUUGAGGAAAUAACACAGCCUCCUCAGCUUUAAUGUGACACUGUUGUU